AAUGAACGUUGGCGGCGUGGAUUAGGCAUGCAAGUCGUGCGAGAAGCUCUCCUUCGGGAGGGUGGAAAGCGGCGUAAGGGAGAGUAACGCGUGGAUACCUGCCCCGGGAUCCGGGAUAGCUGCGGGAAACUGCAGGUAAUACCGGAUAACGUCUCCGGACCAAAGGUGUGAUUCCGUCCUGGGAUGGGUCCACGUCCUAUUAGCUUGUUGGUGGGGUAACGGCCUACCAAGGCGACGAUGGGUACCGGGCGUGAGAGCGUGGCCCGGCUCACUGGGACUGAGACACUGCCCAGACACCUACGGGUGGCUGCAGUCGAGAAUCUUCGGCAAUGGGCGCAAGCCUGACCGAGCGACGCCGCGUGCGGGAUGAAGGCCUUCGGGUUGUAAACCGCUGUCAGAGGGGAGGAAAUCCUGGGAGGCUAUCCUUUCAGGUUGACCUAUCCUCAGAGGAAGGACGGGCUAAGUUCGUG
rnacentral:rRNA from 1 species